rnacentral:rRNA from 1 species
AGCGAACGCUGGCGGCAGGCUUAAUACAUGCAAGUCGAGCGGGCACUUUCGGGUGUCAGCGGCGGACGGGUGAGUAACGCGUGGGAACGUGCCCUCUGGUUCGGAAUAACUCAGGGAAACUUGAGCUAAUACCGGAUACGCCCUUUUGGGGAAAGGCUUGCUGCCGGAGGAUCGGCCCGCGUCUGAUUAGCUAGUUGGUGAGGUAACGGCUCACCAAGGCGACGAUCAGUAGCUGGUCUGAGAGGAUGAUCAGCCACACUGGGACUGAGACACGGCCCAGACUCCUACGGGAGGCAGCAGUGGGGAAUAUUGGACAAUGGGCGCAAGCCUGAUCCAGCCAUGCCGCGUGAGUGAUGAAGGCCUUAGGGUUGUAAAGCUCUUUUAUCCGGGACGAUAAUGACGGUACCGGAGGAAUAAGCCCCGGCUAACUUCGUG